ACUCCUACGGGAGGCAGCAGUGGGGAAUAUUGCACAAUGGGCGCAAGCCUGAUGCAGCAACGCCGUGUGAGUGAAGAAGGUUUUCGGAUCGUAAAACUCUGUCCUAAGGGAAGAAACAAAUGACGGUACCUUAGGAGGAAGCCCCGGCUAACUACGUGCCAGCAGCCGCGGUAAUACGUAGGGGGCAAGCGUUAUCCGGAAUCACUGGGCGUAAAGGGUGCGUAGGCGGCUUAGCAAGCCAGGGGUGAAAGGCAUUGGCUCAACCAAUGUAAGCCUUUGGAACUGUUAAGCUUGAGUGCAGGAGAGGUAAGUGGAAUUCCUAGUGUAGAGGUGAAAUUCGUAGAUAUUAGGAGGAACACCAGUGGCGAAGGCGACUUACUGGAACUGUAACUGACGCUGAUGCACGAAAGCGUGGGGAGCAAACAGGAUUAGAUACCCUUUAGCACAGAG
rnacentral:rRNA from 1 species